rnacentral:rRNA from 1 species
UUGUUGUGGUUAAAAAGCUCGUAGUUGGAUCUCGGCGGACUGAGGGCGGUUUGCUUGCUAGUAUUACUGCCCUAUAGUCCGUAGUUUUGCCAGAGGUUUCGGGGUGCUCUUAAUCGAGUGUCCCGGGAUGCUGGCAGGUUUACUUUGAAAAAAUUAGAGUGCUCAAAGCAGGCUAUUACGCCUGAAUAUUCGUGCAUGGAAUAAUAGAAUAGGAAGUCGUUUCUAUUUUGUUGGUUUUCGGAAAUCGACUUAAUGAUUAAUAGGGACAGUCGGGGGCAUUUGUAUUCAAACGACAGAGGUGAAAUUCUUGGACCGUUUGAAGACAAACUACUGCGAAAGCAUUUGCCAAGAAUGUUUUCAUUAAUCAAGAACGAAAGUUAAAGGUUCGAAGGCGAUUAGAUACCGCCCUAGUUUUAACCAUAAACGAUGCCAGCUAGCGAUCUGCGGACGUUUUUUUUGUAGACUCCGCAGGAAGCUUCCGGGAACCAAAGCAUUUGGGUUCCCAGAGGAAGUAUGGUUGCAAAGCUGAACUUAAGGAAU